CAUCUCUUUUUGAAAAUAAUUUAAAGUCUGAUCUGCCCAAUGAGUGUUUAAAUGGCUGCAGUAAUUUAACUGUACUAAGGUAGCAUAAUCAAUAGUUUUUUAAUUAAAAGCUGGAAUGAAAGAUUGGAUGAAAUAAUAAUUGUCUCAAAUUUAAUAAUAGUAGAAUUUUUUUUUUAGUUAAAAAACUAAAUUGAAUUUUAAAGACGAGAAGACCCUAUAGAUUUUUAUAAUAAAUAUAAAAAUUAAUAAAAAUAAAAAAAAUAAUAUUUUAUAAAUUAUUAUUAGAUUGGGGUAAUUAUUAAAUAAAAUUAAUUUUAAUAUUUAUAAAACAAUAAUUAUUGAGUGAAUGAUCUUUAAUAAAGAUAAAUAGAAUAAAAUACCUUAGGGAUAACAGCGUAAUAUUUUUGGAAAGAUCUUAUUGAUAAAAAAGAUUGCGACCUCGAUGUUGAAUUAAAAUAAAAUUAUAAUGGAGAAGUUAUAAAUUUU
rnacentral:rRNA from 1 species